AGGUGGGACCUGCGUGGAGGAGGGAGGCGCACGGUGGACUUCCGCCCCGCGCCGCACACGCACCUGGAGCCGUGACGUCCCCGGCAUGGGGACUUGGAGUGGCAGGCCCCGCCCCGUCGUCCUCCCCUCCCCGCCCCGCUCCUGCCGGAGUGUGGCCCGGCUCUGCAGCCGAGGCCCGCGGCGGCCAGUGAGCCGGCCCGGCCGCCCGAGGCCGCCGGAAGGUCCAGUGCUUUGUAACUGUGCGCGAGGCCCAGGUGGCGCGGAGGAGAAAGACGAGUGACGCCCGGACCCGCGUCCUCAACCGCGGCCGGGUGCGUGUGGCCCGCUCUCCGGGAGCGAAGGUUCUGGAGCAGGAUUUCGGGUGGUUAUCUCCGCGAAGGCUUCUCACCUCUUCCCCUGGUCCCUUCAGUGCUUCCCACAGGUGGACCUCUCUUAACUUCUACUGAAACAAUGUCUGAAUGAUUCAUACCUUUGGAGAGAGUCACACCCAUUUCACGCAGACUCAGCUACAAUAAAGAUUGUGCUCACAUCCUGCCUCAGAGUCUAUUUCUGCGUGAAUCCAACUGAACAUGUGAUCAAAACCACCUGAGAAGCCUGGGACUUCUCUGGUGGUGCAGUGGUUAAGAAUCCUCCUGCCAAUGCACGGGACACAGGUUCAAGCCCUGGUCCAGGAAGAUCCCACAUGCUGAGGAGCAACUAAGCCCACGCACCACAACUACUGAGCCUGCGAGCCACAACUACUGAGCCCAUGUGCCUAGAGCCCAUGCUCUGCAGCAAGAGAAGCCACAGCAAUGAGAAGGCCGCGCACUGCAAGGAAGAGUAGCCCCACUCACCACAACCAGAGAAAGCCUGUGCAUAGCAACGAAGACCCAAUGCAGCCAAGAGAAAAAAAAUAUAUUGUUUUAUAUUUACAAUUAGUAAUAGAAUAUAAGCACUGAAAAUAAAAACUGAAUAUAAAACAAAUUCUGGUAGUGUGAUUAUCUGCCAUAUGUAUUUUACUGCAAUAGAGGUAGCAGACCAAAAGACUUUC